GCCAAAAAAAGCGUAUGCCCCCCUGUUGCAUUUAAUCAUUAACAUUAAAAAGUACUAAGUUUAAAGGUUUAUCAUCAUUAGCAUCAGCAAACUCUUUUUUUCUUGUACCACCCCAAAAAUCACAUUUACUCAUCUUAAGUUAACUUCAUAUUUUUCACCUUGGUCUCUCAUGAAUGUAAACAUGGUGCAAAAUGCGGGAACUUCUUGCUGAGGAUUUCUGACUGCUGAAUGAUACUUAACAUUACAUUUUUUUGCUUUGAUCUUAUGGUUUUCUUUUUGAAUUAAAAGUUUAGGUUAUUUAGGUUUUUUUUUUUUAAAUUGAUGAUGCAGCUGCCAGGGAGGAGGGAAAAAGGAAGACCUCAGAGGAGGUUAAUGGAUGUAGUGAAGGAGGAAAUGAAGAGGGUGGGAGAGAUAGAGGAGGACAGAGGAGAUAGAGGAGGAUAGAGGAGAUAGAGGAGGCUAGAGGAGAUAGAGGAGGAUAGAGGAGAUAGAGGAGGAUAGAGGAGAUAGAGGAGGCUAGGAUGAGAAGGAGACAGAUGAUCUCCUGUGGUGACCUCCAAAGAAGAAAAAGAAAAAGAACAUUAUUUGGCUUCUGAAUUGAUUUGACCAACGUUUUGAUCUAUAGGUUUGGGUAAACUUUAAACAAUGAAUUAGCUUCUAUACUACUGUGUUUUGAUAUUGUUUUUUUUUUAUGCUUGCUGGAACUUUUAUGGUUCUCUUGGUAACUGAUUAUAGCAUUUGGCUUUAUAAAUUAGUUAUAAAUGCAUUAUUCGGCUUCAUAAUUUGCCUGAAUCGCUUUCAGUUUAAUGUCCUAUUCAAUCUUUUAGAUUUAUAAUAUUUUAUCUUUUUUGUAUUUCUUUUUACUGGGAAUACCAAUGUCCAAUAAUAGUUUGAUAACCCAUUUCUAUUACUCAAAGUGGCAUAUUAGCUCCAGAAAGCUACACAAUCUCUACAAUUAAAUUCUUUAUUUUAGUUACGAGAGGAGGGUCCCUCUUCCAAGACAGACAAAGUGUUACCAUAUUAGGCUGCAAUCUUCAAAAGUGUUAAGAGACUUAUUUACAAGAAGCAUUGACAAUGAAGGAUUUCUCAAUAGUGGUACUGGUAAUAUUUCUGGGGUUGCUGAUGACAUGUUGUUACAUGCUGGCUCUUGUUAAUGCAGAGAAUACUCAGAGUCAGCAGCAACAACACAUUUCAGUGUUGUGAGUAACUAUGCAGUCAAAUCGCAUCACAUCCAG
ensembl:lncRNA